ACAAGUACUCCUUUUCUUUUUGCGAAUACAGACUAACACGGCUGCUACUCUGAAACCUGUUGUUUUAGAAAGGGCGCAUCUGAUGUCGUCCUCCACAUGAAGCCGGGGGUCGGGACUUGCAGCCAUGUGUCGCUGUCGGCGUUGGGGCUCACAGCCGUGCACCAGGGUAAGGGCUUGCAGGCGCGCAGGGGUUGGACUAGACUAAUUCUAGAGGAGUUAAUUCUUGUGUAGAUAACUCUGCACUAAAGACAGCCAAAGAAGGAUAAAAAUUAAGAGAGUUGGUUGGGGGAGUGGGACAGAUGGCACAAGGGGACUUUUACAAGACACGGCGAUGCUUUAAUAGCAGCCAGAGAGGAGGUUGAAGUUGAAGUCAAUUAGAGAAUCAGUGCAGAAAAAGGGUUCUUUCCUUAAAUUACAAAAGGUUUUUAAUCUAAUUUAUUUUCAAUUUGCUAAUGCAAAGUACUGUUAUAAUUAUCUCCUUGUUUCUGUCUGUCAGUGAGGUAACGUUAGCACACCAUCUACUUCUGGUUUCCGGUAAAUCUAAAGUUUGUUUUUGUUUUUCAUUUGUUUUGUCUAAACAAGCUGCUGAAGUUGAGACACAUCAACAAUUAGUAAAUAUUUAAAUCCAAAUUUGUUGACAGAUAUGGCUCAUUUUAGGUUGAUUUCAUAGAUUCUUGUAGGCCAAAUUCUUCAUACCUUUGCAGCCCCAUUUACUUCAGUUUAGGCUGAAUAUUAGGGAAAGCAUGUUUACAGUGAGAUAUUAGUUUGUAGAAAAAAUUCUCCACUUAUACAAUAUGUAGUUUUAGAGGUUAGGAUAUCACUUUCUGUUGCAGAGAGAGAGAAGGAUGGAAAACUUGGUUAACUGACAUUGAGAUCUAAAGACUGAAAUUGUGGAAAUAUUCUUUGGUAUGGAAGGCACUUUGUUUUGGAAAUAGAGAAUGAUGUGUAAAUAAAGAUGUGUUGAGUUAUAUCUCAAAAUAUUUGAAAAGGAACUGAAAGCUUUAUACCUCAGUAAAGCUCCAUUUUUCCUUUAACUGUCCCUUCUUUGUUUCUUACUGCCAGUCUGCAGAAUAUUAGGUCAGUUAAGAGCAUCUCAUCAAAAAUUUAUUAUCUUUCAAAUACUCAGUGGGCGGAAAAUUGUGACAAGUCAUCUCAAAGGUAAAGUGACUUGUUUUAAAAUACUGGAGGAUGCUUCUAAAUUAAUAUUAUACAUAAGAGUUCCUUUUGAACAUUUUCAGAAUAACACUCAGAACAUCAAAAUGUGUGUUUGUCCUGAUUUCGGCAGUUUAAUUAGUUUCCAUAUAUAAUAGCAAACAUUGCAAGCUGUUAGACUUAAAAAAAAAAAAAAAAAAAAAAAAGGCAUUUUCAGGCCCUUUGGCAGAACCGCUGUUUAAACUGUACCACCAUUAUUUAACUGGACAGCACAGUUCUAAAAGAUUUAGUGGCCUCUGAAUUCUUAACAUGUGUUGUAUUUAUAUCUGUGGCACCCACAAGCGAUGCAGGAGGGUUAAAAGAUGUGCUUAGCAAUAAAUGGGAGGGCUGGAUCCAGGUUGUUGGAAACAACAACAACAGCUCUAUACAUCAAAGAUACACUAUAUACCUUCACGAACAGAAGUUUGGUCCAAUAAAAAAUAUUGUCUCACUCACCUUGCGUCUCUCAUAUUCUGGGACCAACACGGCUACAACAUUGCACACAUAUGUCAAAGAACAGUAGUUGUAAGACUUUGAAGUUAUCCCCUUGCAUCAUUUAAUAAUACUUUAUUGGGAGACAUGUAUUGAACUCCCAGAUGCUUUUGGAUUCAGGGAGUGUGAUUUUGCCAACUGUUAGUACUGAACCAGUGCCACAGUAAGUUUGCAGAGGGCUUUGUGUUACUGAAGCAGCCACCCUCUGAAGGAGAGCUAAAAUUUACCUGACAAAACGUUGUCAGCAUUUUUUAUAUUCCCUUCAUGUCUAAUGUUGGGUUUCCCCUGAAUGACUGUUGGGUGUAAAUAAAUCAGAGAUUUCUUUGUAGCUGGGACUAAGCACUUUUCUGUGAAACUUGCCUGUAGAACCUUAUCAAAAGGCCUUGCAAGCCUUUUGAGCCAAAGAUCCCUCUUUUCAGUCUGAACUUACCAAUUUCAAACUAUUUUUAAGCAUUUUCAGUUAAAUUUAGUCUAAAUUAAAAUGUAAAGCUAAUUCUGCAAUAUUGGGCAAAAUCCAGCCGUGCUAGAGGUAGGAACAGUUGACGGAGUCUGUUCUGCCUGCAUGAGGACUUACAGUAAAGCCCAGUUGAAGGUAAAGCAGAAAAGUAAGAAGUGUACUCAGCCUGUCAUUUGUCAGUGCAACCAUAUAUCAAAGAUAACCUUCCAUAGAUUCAUAGAGUUUGAUCAGAAGGGACCUCUAGAUCAUCUGGUCUGACAUGUAGAACACAGGGCAUCACACUUUACCCAAUUGCCCCAAUAAGUUGUAUUUGGCUAAAGCAUAUCUUCCUGAAAGGCAUCCAGUUUUGAUUCAAAGACAUCGAGAAAUAGAGAAUCCAUCAAUUUUUGGCUCUUUUCUGCUCCCUUUCCAGUUUUUCGGCAUCCUUUUAAACAUAUGGACACCAGAACUGUAAGCAGUAUUCCAGUAUCUGUCUCACCAAAGCUAUACGCAGAGGUCAUAUAACCUCCCUACCUCUACUCACUACUCCCCUGUUUCUACUUCCAAGGAUGGUCUUAGCUCUUUUGGCCACAGCAUCACACUUCAAUCCCUAGAAUGCUCUUCCAGCUCCUUGCUCCUUCAUAGGGCUUAUCUACACAUCAUUUGUACCAGUAUAACUAUUUUGGUUAUGGGUGUGAUUUUUUUUUACUGAAAUAGUUAUACUGGUAUAGUUCCUGGUGUGGACACAAAUAUAUCGGUAUAAAGGUCUCAAUUGGUAUUGCUUAUUUCUUUUUCUGUGUGGAAAUAGUCCUAUUCUUAUUGGAUAAUGCACCUUUAUACUGGUGCAACUGCAUCUAUGGUAGGGGUGGGUAGUACCACUUUAACUCUAUCAGUAUAGUUGAAGCAGUACAUCUUUUGGUGGGGUUAGGAUUCAAUUUUGAUUAUUAAUAAGACUUCAGGUAGUACAGAAAGGAAAGUUAUAUUUACCAAACCAAUCUGGGGAGCAGCUAAGAGGCUUGGUCUAUUCCAACUAGCUCUCAGAAACUCACUCCCUUAUAGACUAUACAGACACAGUGAAAACCACCUAGUCACCUGUGGAUGGUGACUUGAUUUACACAUUGAUAAGAUAAGGACAUCUGUUCAAGUGGUUAUGGCAGAAAACACCUGUAACAGCCAGUAAUUCCUGACAAGCUUAAAGCAUUUCUCAGUAGGUCAUUAUCAGUUAUAGAAAAUAUUUGCCCCUCAUCAAUCACAAUUUCAGUUUAAGCACAAAGACUCAUGGGAAUUUGGUUCACCUAUAAAGAAUAAUGGGAAUUUAGUUAAUCUGCUAACAGUAUGUAGAGAAGCCCAUAGUGAUUCUAGUGUCUAAAAGUUAGGGAUCAAACUUAGAUAUUGGUGUGAUGAAUUCUUCUCUGCACAAAAUUCAGAUGUGUUCACAUGAUACUCUUUGGGAACCAUUCUUUACAUAAUAAAUUAUACUGGAGAGCUUUCUACAUAUAUCCCUAUAUCAUGACAGUGUGGAGGAUGUGGCAGAUAUGACAUUUUCCUGGUAUAUCUUUGAGAGAUCUUUAUGUAUUAUUGCAGACCAGGGAUGGCAUGUAAUUACAUGGGGGAGGAUGACCACAGCCCUUCUGGAGCUCUGAACAGUGGGAAAUAAUUAGGCAAAUUCACUCAAGUUGUAACACCUCCAGAAAGGUAACACCUGAGAGACUUGCAUAUACUGUACAAACUGAAUUCUACAGAGACCAACAGAACAAGGAAAGACUUCUGGAUAAAUAGUCUGAGUUUAAACUGAUUUAGGGUCUUCUUUCUGAUGCAGCAAACACAGGACUUUCUGUACAUGGGGGACCCCAAUCCUUUGUAGGAAGGAUGGAAAGACUUUGCCUCCUGAGGCCCCAUAAGAGUGAUGGGUGAUCUCUGGAAAGCUUUUAGUGUGCAUAUAGGAACUUACAUUGUUUUUAAUGUUUUUUUGUAAUGUUUUCACUUUAGGAAUAAAUAUGCUUGCUUAUAAAGGGCUGUGUGGUAACUUAUAACUGUGGGCAAUUACACUGUUUAUAACCUCUGAAGAGAGAGCAAAACACACAUGCUGGCCUGUUUAGGCAGUCUGGCUUCCUGGGAAUAUCACAGUGUAGGCUAAAAGUAAGCUAUCAUCCUCUAGAAACUACAUUGUGAACAGAUGAUGUAUGCUGAUCUCAGGGAAUACUAGCAAUUUCGUAAAAAGCAGAGAUAAAAACAACAGUACAUGAACAACUCACAAUUGGAUACAAACAUAGUACCAAUGACAGUAAUUAAGAUGGACUUUUCAGGCUUUUCACAUUACUGCAAACCCUGAAGUAAAGAUCACACAUACACUGA